GACGAACGCUGGCGGCGUGCUUAACACAUGCGAGUCGAACGAUGAAGCUGGAGCUUGCUCCGGUGGAUUAGUGGCGAACGGGUGAGUAACACGUGAGCAAUCUGCCCUUGACUCUGGGAUAACUGCGGGAAACUGUAGCUAAUACCGGAUACUUUCACUGGAAGGCAUCUUCUGGUAAAGAAAGAAUUUCGGUCAAGGAUGAGCUCGCGGCCUAUCAGCUUGUUGGUGAGGUAACGGCUCACCAAGGCGACGACGGGUAGCCGGCCUGAGAGGGUGACCGGCCACACUGGGACUGAGACACGGCCCAGACUCCUACGGGAGGCAGCAGUGGGGAAUAUUGCACAAUGGGCGCAAGCCUGAUGCAGCAACGCCGCGUGAGGGAUGAAGGCCUUCGGGUUGUAAACCUCUUUUAGCAGGGAAGAAGCGAAAGUGACGGUACCUGCAGAAAAAGCACCGGCUAACUACGUGCCAGCAGCCGCGGUAA
rnacentral:rRNA from 1 species